rnacentral:piRNA from 1 species
UACAGAUGGUAGUGGAAGUCAUGCUACACGC